rnacentral:rRNA from 1 species
AGGGUUUGAUCAUGGCUCAGAUUGAACGCUGGCGGCAUGCCUUACACAUGCAAGUCGAACGGCAGCACGGGAGCUUGCUCCUGGUGGCGAGUGGCGAACGGGUGAGUAAUAUAUCGGAACGUACCCUAGAGUGGGGGAUAACGCAGCGAAAGUUGCGCUAAUACCGCAUACGAUCUACGGAUGAAAGUGGGGGAUCGCAAGACCUCAUGCUCAUGGAGCGGCCGAUAUCUGAUUAGCUAGUUGGUAGGGUAAAAGCCUACCAAGGCUUCGAUCAGUAGCUGGUCUGAGAGGACGACCAGCCACACUGGAACUGAGACACGGUCCAGACUCCUACGGGAGGCAGCAGUGGGGAAUUUUGGACAAUGGGCGCAAGCCUGAUCCAGCCAUUCCGCGUGAGUGAAGAAGGCCUUCGGGUUGUAAAGCUCUUUCGCAAGGGAAGAAAGAUUAUCCUCUAACAUAGGAUGAUUAUGACGGUACCUUGAUAAGAAGCACCGGCUAACUACGUGCCAGCAGCCGCGGUAAUACGUAGGGUGCGAGCGUUAAUCGGAAUUACUGGGCGUAAAG